UGGAGGUUUGGAUGAAGCCCAUGAUGGGGGCGCACACAAGCAUGAACAAGAUGGAAGCAUGGACUAGCAGAAGACCAACUGGACGAAGGGCCGCCACUAAAAACCACGUACAGAGUUGCACUAACAUGAGCUAUUGCCCUUGAACUGGUACAAACCACGUACAGAGUUGUAGUUCUUCCAUAAACAGAGCUAUUGCCCUUGAACUGGAACAGACCCUUACAAAACAACAGAUGUUGCACUAACAUGAGGAACAACGCACCCAACAGCAGCUACUACAUGAUCUAAACCUCAGGCAUUCACAUCCAGCGAGCCCGCGGCAACAUCUGCUCCCACAGCGUCGAGGACCCCCGCUCCACCAUGCUCGAUCAGAGCAUCUUCCACCGUUGUAACAACCCCAUUGUCUAGCUCAAAGAACUCUCUCAUGGCCACAAUUACAUCAGGGGGAAGCUGCUCUUUGAACUUUACAGCGAAGGCAUCCAGGGUGGCAGUGGUGACGUCCUGCCCGUUCUUAAUGAUGCCCAGGCUGCGGCCAAUAAACUGCUCAGCCGCCUGUGCCGCCGGCGUCGUUGCUGCGAGGACAGCAGGGCGCCUCAUCCUCUGCAGGGAGAGGCCACCCACCUUGGAGAUCUUCACGCCAGCGAGAGUUUUCCGACGGGCUGCCGGCUUCCUGGGUGGUGUUGAAGCAGGGGAAGGAGGGAGAUCCGGGGCAGACAUCAAGAGCGCAGGCUGGUGAGCACAGAACAGCGGUUCCGGGAGAGCCACCCCCAGGCUUGGCACAAGCAGCUCAGCAAGCCCCGCCGGCAACACGUCAUCAUCUGCACGUUUACGAGCCCGUGGAGAUGUCGGGGUUCGCUGCAGGGGGCCACUGCUGAGGAGGGGUGGUGUUGUUGGGAAUCGUAGCAUAAUUUUAAAAUUUUCCUACGCUCACCAAGAUGCCUCUAUGGAGUCUACUAGCAACGAGGGGAAGGGAGUGCAUCUACAUACCGUCGUAGAUCGCGAGCGGAAGCGUUCCAAUGAACGUGGAUGACGGAGUCGUACUCGCCGUGAUCCAAAUCACCGAUGACUAAGUGCCGAACGUACAGCACCUCCGCGUUCAACACACGUACGGUGCAGCGACGUCUCCUCCUUUCUUGAUCCAGCAAGGGGGAGGAGAGGUUGAUGGAGAUCCAACAGCACGACGGCGUGGUGGUGGAUGUAGCAGCUCUCCGGCAGGGCUUCGCCGAGCUUCUGCGAGAGAGAGAGAGGUGUUGCAGGGGAGGAGGGAGGCGCCAAAGGCUGUAGUCUACUGCCCUCCCUCCCCCCCCUUUAUAUAGGCCCCCAAGGGGGGUGCGCAGCCCUAGGAGAUGGGAUCUCCAAGGGGGGGGCGGCGGCCAAGGGGGGAAGGGGUUGCCUUGCCCCCCAAGGCAAGGGGGAACUCCCCCCCCUAGGGUUCCCAACCCUAGGCGCAUGGGGGGGAGGCCCAAGGAGGCGCCCCAGCCCACUAGGGGCUGGUUCCCCUCCACUUUCAGCCCACGGGGCCCUCCGGGACAGGUGGCCCCACCCGGUGGACCCCCGGGACCCUUCCGGUGGUCCCGGUACAAUACCGAUAACCCCCGAAACUUUCCCGGUGGCCAAAACUGGACUUCCUAUAUAUAAUUCUUCACCUCCGGACCAUUCCGGAACCUCUCGUGAUGUCCGGGAUCUCAUCCGGGACUCCGAACAACUUUCGGGUUUCCGCAUACAUAUAUCUCUACAACCCUAGCGUCACCGGACCUUAAGUGUGUAGACCCUACGGGUUCGGGAGACAUGCAGACAUGACCGAGACGCCUCUUCGUUCAAUAACCAACAGCGGGAUCUGGAUACCCAUGUUGGCUCCCACAUGUUCCAAGAUGAUAUCAUCGGGUGAACCACGGUGUCGAGGAUUCAAUCAAUCCGUAUGCAAUUCCCUUUGUCAAUCGGUAUGUUACUUGCCCGAGAUUCGAUCGUCGGUAUCCCAAUACCUAGUUCAAUCUCGUUGCCGGCAAGUCUCUUUACUCGUACCGCAAUGCAUGAUCCCGUGACUAACGCCUUAGUCACAUUGAGCUCAUUAUGAUGAUGCAUUACCGAGUGCGCCCAGAGAUACCUCUCCGUCACACGGAGUGACAAAUCCCAGUCUCGAUCCGUGCCAACCCAACGGACACUUUCGGAGAUACCCGUAAUGCACCUUUAUAGUCACCCAGUUACGUUGUGACGUUUGGCACACCCAAAGCACUCCUACGGUAUCCGGGAGUUGCACGAUCUCAUGGUCUAAGGAAAAGAUACUUGACAUUGGAAAAGCUCUAGCAAACGAAACUACACGAUCUUUUAUGCUAUGCUUAAGUUGGGUCUUGUCCAUCACAUCAUUCUCCUAAUGAUGUGAUCCCGUUAUCAAUGACAUCCAAUGUCCAUAGUCAGGAAACCAUGACUAUCUGUUGAUCAACGAGCUAGUCAACUAGAGGCUUACUAGGGACACAUUGUGGUCUAUGUAUUCACACAUGUAUUACGAUUUCCGGACAAUACAAUUAUAGCAUGAAUAAUAGACAAUUACCAUGAACAAAGAAAUAUAAUAAUAACCAUUUAUUAUUGCCUCUAGGGCAUAUUUCCAACAGUCUCCCACUUGCACUAGAGUCAAUAAUCUAGUUACAUUGUGAUGAAUCGAACACCCAUUGCGUCCUGGUGUUGAUCAUGUUUUGCCCUAGGGAGAGGUUUGGUCAACGGAUCUGCUACAUUCAGGUCCGUAUGUACUUUACAAAUAUCUAUGUCUCCAUUUUGAACACUUUCACGAAUGGAGUUGAAGCGACGCUUGAUAUGUCUGGUCUUCCUGUGAAACCUGGGCUCCUUCGCAAGGGCAAUAGCUCCAGUGUUGUCACAGAAGAGAGUCAUCGGGUCCGACGCAUUGGGAAUCACCCCUAGGUCGGUAAUGAACUCCUUCAUCCAGACUGCUUCCUGUGCUGCCUCCGAGGCUGCCAUGUACUCCGCUUCACAUGUAGAUCCCGCCACGACGCUUUGCUUGCAACUGCACCAGCUUACUGCUCCUCCAUUCAAAAUAUACACGUAUCCGGUCUGUGACUUCGAGUCAUCCAGAUCUGUGUCGAAGCUAGCGUCGACGUAACCCUUUACGACGAGCUCUUCGUCACCUCCAUAAACGAGAAACAUAUCCUUAGUCCUCUUCAGGUACUUCAGGAUAUUCUUGACCGCUGUCCAGUGUUCCUUGCCGGGAUUACUUUGGUACCUUCCUACCAAACUUACGGCAAGGUUUACAUCAGGUCUGGUACACAGCAUGGCAUACAUAAUAGACCCUAUGGCCGAGGCAUAGGGGAUGACACUCAUCUCUUCUAUAUCUUUUGCCGUGGUCGGACAUUGAGCCGUGCUCAAUUGCACACCUUGCAAUACAGGCAAGAACCCCUUCUUGGACUGAUCCAUAUUGAACUUCUUCAAUAUCUUGUCAAGGUAUGUACUCUGUGAAAGACCAAUGAGGCGUCUUGAUCUAUCUCUAUAGAUCUUGAUGCCUAAUAUAUAAGCAGCUUCUCCAAGGUCCUUCAUUGAAAAACACUUAUUCAAAUAGGCCUUUAUACUCUCCAAGAAUUCUAUAUCAUUUCCCAUCAAUAAUAUGUCAUCCACAUAUAAUAUGAGAAAUGCUACAGAGCUCCCACUCACUUUCUUGUAAACACAGGCUUCUCCAUAAGUCUGUGUAAACCCAAACGCUUUGAUCAUCUCAUCAAAGCGAAUGUUCCAACUCCGAGAUGCUUGCACCAGCCCAUAGAUUGAGCGCUGGAGCUUGCACACUUUGUUAGCAUUCUUAGGAUCGACAAAACCUUCCGGCUGCAUCAUAUACAACUCUUCCUUAAGGAAGCCAUUAAGGAAUGCCGUUUUGACGUCCAUCUGCCAUAUCUCAUAAUCAUAGUAUGUGGCAAUUGCUAACAUGAUUCGGACGGACUUCAGCUUCGCUACGGGUGAGAAAGUCUCAUCGUAGUCAACCCCUUGAACUUGUCGAUAACCCUUAGCGACAAGUCGAGCUUUGUAGAUGGUCACAUUACCAUCUGCGUCCGUCUUCUUCUUAAAGAUCCAUUUGUUUUCUAUGGCUCGCCGCUCAUCGGGCAAGUCAGUCAAAGUCCAUACUUUGUUUUCAUACAUGGAUUCUAUCUCGGAUUUCAUGGCUUCUAGCCAUUUGUCGGAAUCCGGGCCCGCCAUCGCUUCUUCAUAGUUCGAAGGUUCACCGUUGUCUAACAACAUGAUUUCCAGGACAGGGUUGCCGUACCACUCUGGUGCGGAACGUGUCCUUGUGGACCUACGAAGUUCAGUAACUUGAUCCGAAGCUUCAUGAUCAUCAUCAUUAACUUCCUCCCCAGUCGGUGUAGGCACUGUUGGAAAUAUGCCCUAGAGGCAAUAAUAAAUGGUUAUUAUUAUAUUUCUGUGUUCAUGAUAAUAGUCUUUUAUUCAUGCUAUAAUUGUAUUGUCCGGAAAUCGUAAUACAUGUGUGAAUACAUAGACCACAACCUGUCCCUAGUAAGCCUCUAGUUGACUAGCUCGUUGAUCAACAGAUAGUCAUGGUUUCCUGACUAUGGACAUAGGAUGUCAUUGAUAAUGGGAUCACAUCAUUAGGAGAAUGAUGUGAUGGACAAGACCCAACUUAAGCAUAGCAUAAAAGAUCGUGUAGUUUCGUUUGCUAGAGCUUUUCCAAUGUCAAGUAUCUUUUCCUUAGACCAUGAGAUCGUGCAACUCCCGGAUACCGUAGGAGUGCUUUGGGUGUGCCAAACGUCACAACGUAACUGGGUGACUAUAAAGGUGCAUUACGGGUAUCUCCGAAAGUGUCUGUUGGGUUGGCACGGAUCGAGACUGGGAUUUGUCACUCCGUGUAAACGGAGAGGUAUCUCUGGGCCCACUCGGUAAUGCAUCAUCAUAAUGAGCUCAAUGUGACUAAGGUGUUAGUCACGGGAUCAUGCAUUGCGGUACGAGUAAAGAGACUUGCCGGUAACGAGAUUGAACUAGGUAUUGGGAUACCGACGAUCGAAUCUCGGGCAAGUAACAUACCGAUUGACAAAGGGAAUUGCAUACGGAUUGAUUGAAUCCUCGACACCGUGGUUCAUCCGAUGAUAUCAUCGUGGAACAUGUGGGAGCCAACAUGGGUAUCCAGAUCCCGCUGUUGGUUAUUGACCGGAGAGGCGUCUCGGUCAUGUCUGCAUGUCUCCCGAACCCGUAGGGUCUACACACUUAAGGUCCGGUGACGCUAGGGUUGUAGAGAUAUAUGUAUGCGGAAACCCGAAAGUUGUUCGGAGUCCCGGAUGAGAUCCCGGACGUCACGAGAGGUUCCGGAAUGGUCCGGAGGUAAAGAUUUAUAUAUGGGAAGUCUUAUUUUGGUCGCCGGAAAAGUUUCGCGCUUUAUCGGUAUUGUACCGGGAGUGCCAAAAGGGGUCCGGGGGUCCACCAAAGGGGUCCACCAGCCCCGGGGGGCCACAUGGGCUGUAAGGGGUGCGCCUUGGCCUAUAUGGGCCAAGGGCACCAGCCCCAAGAGGCCCAUGCGCAAGAGAUAAGAAAGAAGGGAGAGUCCUAAAGGGGGAAGGCACCUCCGAGGUGCCUUGGGGGGGAAGGACUCCCCCCUGGCCGCACCCUUCCUUGAAGGAAGGGGCAAGGCUGCGCCCCCCCUCUCCCUUGGCCCUAUAUAUAGUGGGGGGAAGGGAGGGCAGCAAAAUCUAAGCCUUGGGCGCCUCCCUCCUCCCCUGCAACACCUCUCUCUCUCUCUCGCAGAAGCUCGGCGAAGCCCUGCCGGAGACCCGCUACAUCCACCACCACGCCGUCGUGCUGUUGGAUCUCCAUCAACCUCUCCUUCCCCCUUGCUGGAUCAAGAAGGAGGAGACGUCGCUGCACCGUACGUGUGUUGAACGCGGAGGUGCCGUCCGUUCGGCACUCGGUCAUCGGUGAUUUGGAUCACGGCGAGUACGACUCCGUCAUCCACGUUCAUUGGAACGCUUCCGCUCGCGAUCUACAAGGGUAUGUAGAUCCACUCCUUUCCCCUCGUUGCUAGUAGACUCCAUAGAUGCAUCUUGGUGAGCGUAGGAAAAUUUUAAAUUAUGCUACGAUUCCCAACAAUAUCUCUACAACCCUAGCGUCACCGGACCUUAAGUGUGUAGACCCUACGGGUUCGGGAGACAUGCAGACAUGACCGAGACGCCUCUCCGGUCAAUAACCAACAGCGGGAUCUGGAUACCCAUGUUGGCUCCCACAUGUUCCACGAUGAUAUCAUCGGAUGAACCACGGUGUCGAGGAUUCAAUCAAUCCGUAUGCAAUUCCCUUUGUCAAUCGGUAUGUUACUUGCCCGAGAUUCGAUCGUCGGUAUCCCAAUACCUUGUUCAAUCUCGUUACCGGCAAGUCUCUUUACUCGUACCGCAAUGCAUGAUCCCGUGACUAACGCCUUAGUCAUAUUGAGCUCAUUAUGAUGAUGCAUUACCGAGUGGGCCCAGAGAUACCUCUCCGUCACACGGAGUGACAAAUCCCAGUCUCGAUCCGUGCCAACCCAACAGACAUUUUCGGAGAUACCCGUAAUGCACCUUUAUAGUCACCCAGUUACGUUGUGACGUUUGGCACACCCAAAGCACUCCUACGGUAUCCGGGAGUUGCACGAUCUCAUGGUCUAAGGAAAAGAUACUUGACAUUGGAAAAGCUCUAGCAAACGAAACUACACGAUCUUUUAUGCUAUGCUUAAGUUGGGUCUUGUCCAUCACAUCAUUCUCCUAAUGAUGUGAUCCCGUUAUCAAUGACAUCCAAUGUCCAUAGUCAGGAAACCAUGACUAUCUGUUGAUCAACGAGCUAGUCAACUAGAGGCUUACUAGGGACACAUUGUGGUCUAUGUAUUCACACAUGUAUUACGAUUUCCGGACAAUACAAUUAUAGCAUGAAUAAUAGACAAUUACCAUGAACAAAGAAAUAUAAUAAUAACCAUUUAUUAUUGCCUCUAGGGCAUAUUUCCAACAGGUGUAGGAGAUGCCUCAAAGCCGGGAGGGCGUACUGGCGAGACGUGGAGGAGGGGGCUCAACAUGGAGACCGGCGAGCAAAGCUCAAUGAGUGCUGGACUCCUCUCUUGAAUGGCCUCUGUAGCAACCCUAGCCUCAUCACGCUUGGAGGGGGGUGGUGAGCGGAGCACGGACUUGGGGGAGAGGGG
rnacentral:lncRNA from 1 species